CGUAAAUGAUGACAAGUCGUCCGCGCAAACGAGCAGGAGCCAACUCAGUAAUAUACAUUGGGACAAUAAGAGAAGUAAGACCAAUUCCAUAACCUACAAUAAAACGACCAACAACCAUCAUUGCAACAUUCCGCGAAGCAGCCAUAAUAACAGAUCCGAUGACAAAAAUUGCAUCUGCACAUAGCAAAAGCCGUUUGCGACCGACCCAAUCAGCAAGCCAUCCUGAAGUGGUUGCAGAUAUAAGGGCGGCGAAGGAAGUGGCAGAGGUAAUCAAUUCUUUUUGGCCAGAGCUAAGGACGUGACCAAGAUCGCUACCGAGGACAGCGAGAGCGCCUGAAAUAACACCAGUGUCAUAACCGAACAGCAAACCAGAAAUACCUGCAACAGCCGACAGCACCCAAAUCCAACUACUGAUUUUUUCAGCUUCAAAUCCUUCACCGUUUUCAUCAGCGACCUCGUUGGCUUGUGGAUCCGUUGCAUUCGCUUCUUCCUCGUUCGGUAAAG